GACGAACGCUGGCGGCGUGCUUAACACAUGCAAGUCGAACGGGCCUUGUCCCCUUUUUUUGGGGGUGGGGUUAGUGGCAAACGGGUGAGUAACACGUGAGUAACCUGCCCCUCACUUCUGGAUAACCGCUUGAAAGGGUGGCUAAUACGGGGUGUUCUGGCCUGCUCGCAUGGGUGGGUUUGGAAAGAUUCGACCGGUUUUGGUUGUUUUGGUGGGGGAUGGGCUCGCGGCCUAUCAGCUUGUUGGUGGGGUGAUGGCCUGCCAAGGCUUUGACGGGUAGCCGGCCUGAGAGGGUGGGCGGUCACACUGGGACUGAGACACGGCCCAGACUCCUACGGGAGGCAGCAGUGGGGAAUAUUGCACAAUGGGCGCAAGCCUGAUGCAGCGACGCCGCGUGAGGGAUGGAGGCCGUCGGGUUGUGAACCUCUUUCGCCAGUGAAGAAGGUCCUGCUCUUUGUGGUGGGGUUGACGGUAGCUGGGUUAAUGAAGCGCCGGCUAACUACGUG
rnacentral:rRNA from 1 species